CCUACGGGAGGCAGCAGUAGGGAAUCUUCCACAAUGGGCGAAAGCCUGAUGGAGCAACGCCGCGUGGGUGAAGAAGGUCUUCGGAUCGUAAAACCCUGUUGUUAGAGAAGAAAGUGCGUGAGAGUAACUGUUCACGUUUCGACGGUAUCUAACCAGAAAGCCACGGCUAACUACGUGCCAGCAGCCGCGGUAAUACGUAGGUGGCAAGCGUUAUCCGGAUUGAUUGGGCGUAAAGGGAACGCAGGCGGUCUUUUAAGUCUGGUGUGAAAGCCUUCGGCUUAACCGGAGUAGUGCAUGGGAAACUGGGAGACUUGAGUGCAGAAGAGGAGAGUGGAACUCCAGGUGUAGCGGUGAAAUGCGUAGAUAUAUGGAAGAACACCAGUGGCGAAAGCGGCUCUCUGGUCUGUAACUGACGCUGAGGUUCGAAAGCGUGGGUAGCAAACAGGAUUAGAUACCCCUGUAGUC
rnacentral:rRNA from 1 species